CGGACCGGCGCACGGGUGCGUAACGCGUAUGCAACCUACCAUCAACAGGGGGAUAACACUGAGAAAUUGGUACUAAUACCCCAUAAUAUCUCAUGCGGCAUCGCAUGGGGUUGAAAACUCCGGUGGUUGAUGAUGGGCAUGCGUUGUAUUAGCUGGUUGGUGAGGUAACGGCUCACCAAGGCGACGAUACGUAGGGGGACUGAGAGGUUAACCCCCCACAUUGGUACUGAGACACGGACCAAACUCCUACGGGAGGCAGCAG
rnacentral:rRNA from 1 species